AAAGCUGAGGAAAAGAAACCAACUGGGAUUGCCUUAGUAACGGCGAGUGAAGCGGCAAAAGCUCAAAUUUGAAAUCUGGUACCUUUGGUGCCCGAGUUGUAAUUUGGAGAGUACCACUUUGGGACUGUACUUUGCCUAUGUUCCUUGGAACAGGACGUCAUGGAGGGUGAGAAUCCCGUGUGGCGAGGGUGUCAGUUCUUUGUAAAGGGUGCUCGAAGAGUCGAGUUGUUUGGGAAUGCAGCUCUAAGUGGGUGGUAAAUUCCAUCUAAAGCUAAAUACAGGCGAGAGACCGAUAGCGAACAAGUACAGUGAUGGAAAGAUGAAAAGAACUUUGAAAAGAGAGUGAAAAAGUACGUGAAAUUGUUGAAAGGGAAGGGCAUUUGAUCAGACAUGGUGUUUUGCGCCCCUUGCCUCUCGUGGGCUUGGGACUCUCGCAGCUCACUGGGCCAGCAUCGGUUUUGGCGGCCGGAAAAAACCUAGGGAAUGUGGCUCUGCGCCUCGGUGUAGAGUGUUAUAGCCCUGGGGAAUACGGCCAGUCGGGACCGAGGACUGCGAUACUUGUUAUCUA
rnacentral:rRNA from 1 species